ACUUAAUGCACCAAUAAAGAUGUAGAAAUAUUACUAUAGCACAGGUUUUAUAAGUAUUCUGAUAGCUUUUAAUAUUAUUAUAUCUCAAUAAAAAAUGUUUGCUCUGUGAUCUUAUGCACUUUAUUGUAUGCAUUUAAAAGCCUCAUACGGCCAGGCACGGUGGCUCACGCCUGUAAUCCCAGCACUUUGGGAGGCCGAGGCGGGUGGAUCACGAGGUCAAGAGAUCAGGACCAUCCUGGUCAACAUGGUAAAACCCCGUCUGUACUAAAAAUACAAAAGAUUAGCUGGGCAUGGUGGCGCGUGCCUGUAAUCCCAGCUACUCAGGAGGCUGAGGCAGGAGAAUUGCCUGAACCCAGGAGGCGGAGGUUGCGGUGAGCCGAGAUCGCGCCAUUGCACUGCAGCCUGGGUAACAAGAGCGAAACUCUGUCUCAAAAAAAAAAAAGCCUCAUACUGGGAAGUAGUUUAUAUGCUUCAAUCCCAGUUGCUAAAGGGAUUUACAAUAUUAGAAAAAAAAAAAAAAAAGGACAAGAGCCCCUGUGGGUGGCUGGGCUUGAACUCAAACCCCUCUCUGACUGAUCAUAAUACCCUAUUUUUUCAUGCUCCCUGCCCACAUGGUUUGUUUUUGCCCAAGGUUAGCAGUACAUUAAUGACGCUCUUUGUCUAUACUCAGCGCUGCAGCCAACCAGAACUAUUCAGUCCAUUAGACACAAAGGGAAAGCAGCUGGGCCCAAGGAAUGCCUCUCCGGUGCUUUGCAGAUUUUACAGUAACAGGUGACCAUGUAAACACCUUGGCAAGACUCCUCCAGGGCCGUGGAAGGGUCCAAUGCAAGUGACAAGUCCUGAGGUUAAGCUUCAUUGACCUCAUGGCGAAAGGGAGGUCUCUAGUCCACGGAAGAGAAAGCGCCACAGCUCUCAACGUUCUCGACAGAAUGUGGCACGCAACCACAAGAGCAGAGUGGAGGCUGUUGCCUGGACAAACUGAGAAGCAAGAAGUCUCAGGUGCUUGGUCCACGGAAGGUCAGUGUUUUCACUGGCAGUUUCCAGCAGAGGCAACUGCAAUUUCGGGCCCUAGAGUAGGCGUCCUGUUACAUUGACCUGCCAGGAAGAGGGGACCCUGCGGUGCUAACUGGGUGUCAUCGUGUCUUCCGUCCACCGCCCCUCAUCCUUCAUGGGCCAAGACACCCACGAAAAACCAAGUCAUCAAUUCCGUAAAAUGACGUCACUAAAAAACAAUCGCCUUGUUACAAUGUAAACAUAAUAUUUGAAUCUAAAUGUAGACUAUCGCAUCCUAACAAAUAUUUAUGUUCUGUACAUAUCAACUAAUACUAGAGUCAGUCUCGUGACCAAAGAGAGAACGUCUCAUUAAAAGUAAAGUUCUCAGCCGAGUGUGGUGAUUUACGCCUGUAAUCCCAGCACUUUGGGAGGCCAUGGUGGGCGGAUCACCUGUGGUCAGGACUUCAAGACCAGCCUGACUAAUAUAGUGAAACCUUAUCUCUACUAAAAAUACAAAAAUUUGCUGGGCAUGGUGGUGCAUGCCUGUAAUCUCAGCUACUCAGGAGGCUGAGGCAGGAGACUCGCUUUUGCCCAGGAGGUGGAGGUUGCGGUGAGCUGAGAUGGCGCCACUGCACUCCAGCCUGGGCGACAGAGUGAGAGUCCAUCUCAAAAAUUAAUUAAUUAAUUAAUAUAAAAGUAAAUUUUUCAUGGUGGGUUCAGAUCCCACACAGAGAGCCAUUGUCCUGGGGUCCCAUUUCCAAUUUAUCCUAAUGGUCUGUUUUACGAUAUGAGCUUGAAGAAAACUUAAAAAAAAAAAAAAAAAGGUGUAAGUAUUCUGAAAUGUGAUUUUUUUUAUGAAGUCAGUUCGGUCUUUGACUCCCAACAGAAGUCAGCCUCUUAGAGCAAUGUGCCCCACCUGUGUCUCCUGCUUUUCAUUCUGUUUUCAGCCUCCAUAUUUGCACUUCUGCCCUACUGCAACAGCCUUUUGACAGCUCUCAGAAUCCAGGUCCUGCUCCCCUAAUCCACCCUGUACUUUCUUGCCACUGAAAUAAUGCUCUGAACUGGCGUUGAUUAGGUUCGCCCUCCCUUACCAGCUUCACUGGCUCUGCCCUGACCACUGCAGGCUAGGCGUGGUGCUCGGGAUGCUGUGGCCAUCCUGUAGCCUUGAGGGAAGCACAUGAGACAACACCACCACAAUCAGGAUGGGGGAGAGGAAAAAUGGAAAGAGCCUGAAAUCGACUCAGUGAACCCUGGAGCUGCUCUGCCUUGGGACCUCUUAAUGUGUGUAAAAGGAGAUUUUCCUCAUUGUUGGGCCAUUUUGAUCAGAGUUUUCUGUAAAUUGUAGCCAAAAGCAUUGAGAAUGACAGAGCUAUUAUGCUAACUCAGGCAGGAAGAAGGAGAGGAUAUACCAUGUCCACUUGGUAUUUUUAGACAUCACAUAGAGAUAGUACAUAACGAUGGAAGGGAUAAUUGCAAAAAAGAAGCAAUUAUGAAAUCAAUCCUUAUGAAGCGAAAGUAGGAGCUUUUCUAAGGCAAAAGGCGGGGUUUAUGAGAGUUGCUGCUUAGUAAAAAGCAACAGGAACUCUGUAGAGGCUGUCUGUGGCUUUGGUCUUUGAGAGCUUCUUUUGCUCUUCCUUUUUGCUCUGUUCUAUGGGGAAUCAUUCCUUGUGAUUCAGGUAAGACUGACCCUACAUCCCCUGUCAUAGGCGUGGCCGGAGAUGGAGGCCUGGCCAGCGGGACAUGGCAUCCCUCAAGCCACAGUGAUCGGUUGAGAAAUAGGCAUAUGGAUUUUCACUACGAUCUAAUGUAGUUAAUAUAGACCCUGGGAGAAAGAAAUGGUGCUCUUCUCUCUACCCCUGGGGACAUGGGUUGUAAGGUUUCUAUCCAGAGGAGACAGACCUAUGAAACUAAAGCCAGCGUCAGAACUCAACUCAGAGGAAAGCUGCACUGAGAGAUGGGGAAGAUAGAGCCCCUGAGUGCAGCCAUGCCUGAGGCCAAAGUCUUCCUUUGGACUUUUGUCCUGGAUGGCAUAAGUCAGUUUGCAUUGGUUUUCUGUCAGCAGAAGAGGGAGGCCCUGGAUCUGCCAUUGUGAUCAGAGUGAGGCCACGUGGAGAAAACGUGGAGGAGAGAAACCAUGAAGGCGUCGUGAGGCCACGUGCAGUAGUCACAGCCCGGCAAGUAGCAAGCACAGGUGUGGAACUGAUUCGACUUUUAAUGCCAGUUUAUCUACUUAUCUAUUUACCAGAUUGAUGAAUCUGAGAAGGUCGCCUACACAUUCUGAGUUUCAGGUUUUCCAUCUAUAAUACGGGAAGAGACUACUUGCCUUCCAAGUUUGUUGUGAGAAUUAAGACAACAUAUGUAAAACCCCUAGUACAGAAGCGUGCAGGUAAUGCUCCCGUAAGAGAUGUUAUUUCUCCACGCCAUAAAAAAUCAGUGUCAAAGUUACUGCAAUAAAAAUAUUCCAGUUGACAAACGUUCCUUGGAUUUUCUUUUCUCCUUAUCGCCUUUUGCUUUCAUCUCUUUCUCUGGCUAUUUAAUCCUAAUAGUUUUCAUUGAAAAUAAUAGCUCCCAUUAUUAGAAGGUGUACUUUGUGCUCGUACUUUACAUACGUUAUCUCUAAUCUCGACAGUCAUGAAUCAAAGCAGAUAGUGCCAUUUUACAGGUUAGGGGAUGCGCAUUCAGAGAGAUUAGUGACUGGUGUAGCCUGUUAGUAUAAGACAAAGCCAGAAUAGCAUUUUGAUGCAACUGGUUGGGGAGGAGAAACCCCAGUGGCAUUGUUUACUCUUGGAGUUUUUCUCAGGAGAAUUAUGAAAGACACACCAUUGUUUUACAUUUCAAACCACAGUGACCUGUGUAACUAAAGAACCUAUAAGUCCCUCAACAGGAAAAAGUGGAAACUGACCCAGAGGAUGCCAGACAGAGGAUAUAUCCAGUCGCAGUUCUUACCAGCAUACGGGUAAGAUAAUGUUCUUGGACUUCACAUAGGUUAAUCUAAAAUUGAGAUUUUU
rnacentral:lncRNA from 1 species